rnacentral:rRNA from 1 species
GGCUUAAUUUGACUCAACGCGGGAAAUCUUACCGGGUCCGGACACACUGAGGAUUGACAGACAAAUAUAGAAAUUUUAUAUUUCUCAUAUAUAAAGAUGCUAGUUCUUUCAUGAUUAUGUGAUAGGUGGUGCAUGGCCGUUCUUAGUUCGUGGAGUGAUCUGUCUGCUUAAUUGCGUUUCAAUUUUUAUUAUGUAUACGUAUGACCCACGUUUACGCGUGCGAGUCUAGUAUGCUAUCAUUUGAAAGCAACGAACGUGACCGUAUCCUUUUAUUAUAUACGCACGCGUAUAUUUAUUCAUUAAAGGGACCGCUGUUUCUUUUUUUAAACCAGAGGAAGGUUACGGCAAUAACAGGUCUGUGAUGC